AAAAAGAAAAUGAUAAAAGAAAUAAAAAACGAAAAAAUAAAAAAAAGGAUAUUAUUAUGGCUUCGAUAAUGCAACCAUUUUUUGUUGAUCUUUGUCCACCCGCAAACACUAAAAUGGGCAAACGAAUUAAAACUGG
rnacentral:ribozyme from 1 species